UUAAACUGUUGUGAUUUUCAUUGUAUAGUUUAUUAAUCGUACUGUAGUUUUCUUAACGUGUUUUUGAAUUAUUCAGCAGUAAUUUAUAAUGAAAGAAGCAGAAAUGGUGGGGUGGUUUUAAAUUCAUUUAUAAUCUUCUCACAGAUCUAAAUGUACAGGUUCUACCAGCCGAUGAGCUCUAUAAUUAUGAAAGAAUGUUAAAAUUUUCAGAUAAAUGGGGCACUGAGUUUACAAUGGGCACAAUAUUGUAUAAUCAGUAAAAAGAGGAUUGUUAUGUUUUGACUCUGUGGAGAAUGGUCUUGGUUAGUUAACUCCUUCUAUGCUGAUAAUGGUAAGCAAAUAUACUUUAUGUAAGAAAAUAGGGGGAGAAUGCAAUGCAAUGGUUUGAUGUUUUGUUAGUCUGAAACCUUAGCAUAUUUUUUUUCCAUUUAUUUCCAUUUCUGUUACUUUUCUUUUCCCUAUUUGCUUCUCUGGGUUUUGUCGAGGUUUUUUUUUCCUCCUGUCUUGCAAUCUACAUUCCCUGAGCAACCACAGGAACCAAGUUACAUUAAGCUUCAACACAAAGACGAUGUAAGAAUAAUGAAUCCUCAUUUGCAUCGACAUUUGUAUUCAGAUUUGCCAGGCUAUAAACUUGGCAGAUCAAGCGGAAUAUUAAGUAGAAGCUUCCAUGGGGUUAUUUUUUUCAGUUGCUACCGGAUGUUGACCAGAAAGUUGGAAGGGCUGGCAUCCUCCCACGGUGAUGAGGAAUCCCAGCCCCUCCACUCUGAAGAGUGCAAGAUGCCCAUGAGGUUGACUCUUCUCUCCAACAUUCACACAAGAGCUGGAAAUAAAGUGGUUGAAGUCACCCUGUAGCUGGAGUUGCCAAGGCUUUGUCUACCCUGUUUCUGAACAAAAGCCAAAACGGAGGCUGGUAUUUUUCAGCUUUUUAGUGACCACUUGAUGUGCAGUUCCUGACUUCAGAGGGCCACCUGGAGCUGGUUUUCAAGAACCACAUCCAUACCACUUUUCAAUAUCUCCAAGGAUGACGAUUCCACAACCUCCUUGAAAAGCUGUGCCAGUGCUCAGUAACUCUCACCAUGAAAAAGUGUUUCCUGAUGUCCAUAGGAAACCUCCUGUCUAUUCCCAUUACCUCUGGUCCUGUCACUGGGCACCACUGAGAAGAGGACCCUACCUGUUCUCUUUGACAUUCCAUUCAAGUAUUUAUAUGCAUUAAUGGGAUCCUCCUGAGCGUUCUUUUCUCCAGACUGAACAUUCACAGCUCUCUCAGCCUUUUCUCCUCAGAGACAUGCGUCAGUCCCUUCACCAUCUUUGUGGCCCUUUGCAGGACCCUUGGGUAGCAGAAUGACUUCUUUGUGAGGCCCCUCAAUAAUCUUUGAAUAAUCAUGACAAUCAGAAGUGUCCAAGGACUGGAGGAAAGGAGGUGUCACUUCUGAAUAAAAAGAAGGACCUCACCUCAGUCUCUGGAAAGAUGAUGGAGUAGCCAGUUCUGGAUACCAUUUCCAGACACAUGAAAAACAAGAUAAAGCCUUGAUCACUAGACUGAGGAUCAUUUUCACUUUGACAGGGUUUAAUGUAGUUUUCUACUUGCAAGGGAAAGCCUGAUUUUAAUAAGAGAAGGAAGAUUAGAAAUAUGGUGUGAAACAGGAUCCAAGGUUUGGAGGCCUAUAACAACAUCUAGGCAACUACAGAGAGGCACUGCUUCCCUACAAGGUAUACUUCCUUGAGACCAUUUUCCUUGGGUUCUCCAAGCAGUAUCUAGCAAAGGGGAGCAUGAAAGACUUCUGCUUUGUUCCUGGAUCAUGAAACUCUUCAUGUGGCAGUCUUGGGAGCUGAUCAUGUGAAUUCAGCUCCUGCUCUUCAGUGCCCAGUUCAAAGGAAGAUUUUUAGCACUUAUCCUAAUAAUAAUAAUGACAACUGUACUAGUCCAUAAGUGACCAAAGAAUCUGCUUCAUACAGCACCUGAGUUGAAGGGAUUAGUGCUAUCUCGGAUGACUUAUGAUUUCAAAAGAUAGGGCCAAGAGUCCCUAAAAGGUAAAUUCUCCUCAACAACAUCUGGGUAUAGAGAUUUGAAUGAAACACAUACUUGUGAAGCUGAGUUACAGACCAGACUAAUGCUCUGGAUAAUGAAGGGAAGCACUGGCUGUGAAGAAUUUUGUGACAAGGUUUUAUACUAGAAAUAUACAGGCAAUUGGUGUGUGCCAGAUGCUCAGAUAAAGUGGCUUAUGGCCCUUAAUUACAGCAUGAGAAUUUAGGCUUCAAAAAGACUAAGCUACUUAGUACUUGGAAAACACUUAAAUGAUGUGGCUAUUAGCCUCUUCUAGGGAUUGAACCUACUACAAUGAGUUUCAGUGUUAGAGAAAUCAAAAUUACCAUGACUUUGGAUUCUUGUACACAUUCCUGUAGGCAGCAUCAUAAGGCAUACAAUUAAAUUUAAUUACUAUAUGAAAUUUUAAACAAGAAAAUAGGCAUUUCUGGUUCUUCUAUCCAAAAAGCAUGCUAUGUAACCGCAAAAAAAAAAGGACAGAGAUGAACAAUACAAGUGAUCAGAGGUAUGGAAAUGCUUCCAUACAUUGAAAAUUAUUCAAUAGGUCAGGGCACUGCAUUUUGGGAAAGAUAAUAAGAAAAGAAAAAGAAAAAGAAAAAGAAAAGAAAAGAAAAGAAAAGAAAAGAAAAGAAAAGAAAAGAAAAGAAAAGAAAAGAAAAGAAAAGAAAAGAAAAGAAAAGAAAAGAAAAGAAAAGAAAAGAAAAGAAAAGAAAAGAAAAGAAAAGAAAAGGAUUAAAUAAUUAAAUAAUGAAAAAUCGUUAAGGGAGCAACUGAUGAGUGUCCACAAAAUCUCUAACCAUCCUGGAGAAUGCACAUAGGGAAGUAUUGAUCCCCUGUAUUUUCCUGUACAAGCAUGUGGGCUACCAGAUGAAAAAAGCAGCUGGAUGUUUAAAAACAAGCAAGAGGUUUGUACAAGAUAUAGCUAAGCUGUGGAACUCAUUGCUGUAUGCUGUGGAUGUUUAAAAAUGUCAUGUGUUCCAGUUUAUUGAGAAAAAACAUAAAUACAAAAGAAUCUCAUUCAAGAAGUCUGAAUUACAGCUAAAGGCCAGAUGAAUAUGGGAAACAGUAUUACACGCUUGCCUGGUUCUUAUCCUCUCCCCCUGACAUCUGGUAUAGGACGUUGUCAGAGACACAAUAUGAGACUAGCUAGACCUUUGGUUUGAACCAUUAUGGCUGUUCUUAUUUUCCUAUGAUUUUAAACUACAUGUUAUUCCAGAAAUUCCCAGGCUGCAAUAGUAACUCCAGCUCUAGUCUAAGUGAUUACACAGGUGGUACUUCAGUAGACAGUAGUAUGGGAACAAUGGUAUAGCAGUGUCAAAUUUGGGCUGGGAACAACUGCACUGGGAUCAUCAAGCCCAGAAGUUUGUAAUAUACCACUAGGAUUCAGUUGCCUGCUAUGCAUUUAAUCUCUGCUUUGGAUUAUAAAUUAAACUGGAAUUUAAAUAAAAGUCGUGGCCAGAGGUCUUAAACCAUGCUGAUAGAUGUCACAAAGCUUUUUUUUUUUUUUUUCAAGCUAUAAGGCACAGAGUAGAAUGGUUGUGUUAUUUCUGAUUGAACACAGAAUUAUUUUCAAACUCCCUUUCUAAAACUAUUCAAAUUUCAUUUGUGGCUUGGCUACUCCAUAAACUCUUUGUUCAUUACAUUUCUACUUGCUUCUGUUGAAAACAGAGAUGCUUUCAAGUGAAAUGUUUUAAGGAGGGUUAGAAAAUGUUCUGGAAAUAAUUUUAAAACUGAUUCAUAUUCCCUUGGUUUAUAUCCUGUGUCUCAUGUGUCUUACAUGUAAAAGUGAAAAAAUAAUACUUUUAAUUGUAGAAUUUAAAAAACAA